UUAUGGCCUGGCAGCCCAUGACACCCCAGCGCUUUGGCCAGGAGCAGGGCACCUCACAGGCAGUGGGGCAGGCCCAGCGCUAGACAUGGGGCACUUCCUUGGGGACAGACAGGGACAUGGGCCCACCGUGGGUCCCACAGGCAGGUGGAGUUGCAUCCUACAGACAUCUCUACAACCUCCCAGAAGGUGAUGUGACAAAUGCAGGAGUCAGAUGACUACGUGGUAGAUAUUUGGGCAAAGGAAGAAGAAAGUUUCCUGUCUGAUUAGAGCAUUGUUCUGCUGCAUAUGCCUUCUUAUGUUUUGUCAAGGACACAUAAGUCUGGUCUUCAGAAGGGUGAUAGCAAAAAAUGAAUAACUGCAUCUUCUCCUGCCCAUAUACCAUUGCUUCAGAAACGUUCCCACACCUCUCCAUGUGCAAAAAUCUUACAGCAGCCUCAAGAGGAGAGGAUAGAGUGUUUCAAAGGCCCUUCAGACUGUUAUUCUUUGGGAUAAGAUAUACCUCAAGCAGGAAUAUAAACAACACUUCAAGUUACUGUUUCUCAAAGGGAAGUACAUUAUUGACAAGAUUAGGGCUGUGACUGGGUGAUAAGUGGGUUGAUAUUGUUAAAGGCUGGUUAUAAAGUGUUUUCUUGAAAUAGCAA